GAUGAACGCUGGCGGCGUGCCUAAUACAUGCAAGUCGAGCGAACAGACGAUGAGCUUGCGCCUCUGACGUUGGCGGCUGACGGGUGAGUAACACGUGGAUAACCUACCUAUAUUACGUGGAGAACUUCGUGAAACCGGAGCUAAUACCACAGAAUAUAUUGAACCGCAUGGUGCAAUAGUGAAAGACGGUUUUGCUGUCACUUAUAGAUGGAUCCGCGCCGCAUUAUCUAGUUGGUAAGGUAACGGCAUACCAAGGCAACGAUGCGUAGCCGACCUGAGAGGGUGAUCGGCCACACUGGAACUGAGACACGGUCCAGACUCCUACGGGAGGCAGCAGUAGGGAAUCUUCCGCAAUGGGCGAAAGCCUGACGGAGCAACGCCGCGUGAGUGAUGAAGGUCUUCGGAUCGUAAAACUCUGUUAUUAGGGAAGAACAAAUGUGUAAGUAACUAUGCACGUCUUGACGGUACCUAAUCAGAAAGCCACGGCUAACUACGUG
rnacentral:rRNA from 1 species